rnacentral:tRNA from 1 species
GGGGCUAGCUCAGUGGCAGAGUGAAUGCCUAUCAGGCAUGAAUGCACGAGGUCCUGGGUUCAAUCCCCAGUACCUCCC